UGAACCUGGUCCUCCUGGCCCACCCGGACCGCCUGGGAAUGAUGGAAAACCAGGUAUUGGUCAUCCUGGUCCUCCUGGUAAAAAAGGUGAACCGGGAAGCUUUGUACCCACUUCAGAAACCUUCUUUGCUGGACCGCCUGGGCCUCCUGGACCUAUUGGACCAAA